CUUGGAAUUUCUCAAGAGAUUGUUGCAUUGCAAGGCAGGUUUCCUCCAAGUGGGAACUCAUAGCUUGAGACAGAAUGGAGGCACUCACCUCGCUGACGAGAGGUCUGGACUGGACUAGAGGAGGUGCUCUAUUACAGUACUGGUGGCUCUGUGGUUCGGCUGUGUAUAACUACAGAGCUACUCUGAACUCUUUUGACAUUAUGAGAGGGCUUGUACACUAUUAGGUAUAUGAAGAGUAACUCAUAGUCACCGUGUGUGUUGUUCGUAUUGCAAUAUCCAUUUCUUUCUCUAUAAUUUUCUACAUAUAUUAUACAUGACUAAACCACAAUGUCACUACACUGGCUAUACUAGUCUAUAUUUAGUCUAUAUAUUUUCCAUGUCCAUGUCUCUCUCGCCUGGCCUGAUUAGCAUCAGUAACUGACGUCCAUAAUUUUAGCCAUGCAAGUCUGCAAGGGGUAUAUAUAUAUAUAGUAUGCAAUAAAUUCAGUGAACAGUACGAUUAUGUCUAUAUGUCAGUAACAUAUUAUCAAUGCACACACUAUAAGACCUAUACCUUGCAGCUCAGCCUGCUUGGCCUCUUUCUCUUUCCAACCACUAGGACAGCCGGUCAUUAUGAAAGGGGGUACACACAAACCUGCGAGUAUGUGUGCAUGAAGCAUUGUAUAUUAUAGAGAUCUACAUGCAUGCAUGCAUGUAUACUUAAUAUAAUUAUAUAGUAUCUAUAUAGCCAGGGUUACACACGCUAUAAGGCUAUAAGGCUAUAAGACGUAUAUAUACUGGCUUGCAGCGAGGCCUGGGCCUCCGAAUAGUAUAGGAAGGGAAAACAAGGCCUUUUAGCAACAGUUACUGUGGCAUGUGAGUAUAUAGCACCUACCACCAGCAGGUGCUCCAGUCACAAUAGUUGCAAUGGCAACAAUGCAAAAGAGCACACAAAGAGUCUUCAUGAUGAAUAGAUCAGAGUCUAUGGUUUUUUAGAAUGGCUGGAUAUAUGUGAAUAGCUGACCUAUAGAUUUAGCAUGCAGUCCUUAUUUAUAUACUACACAAAAUUCCAUGCCCGUGGUUUAAUUUCUCAUAAUGAUUAACAUGAUUAUAAUUAAAUCCAAGUCUCUACGUAUACACGGUACUUGCUAAACUAUAAUUUUUCUAAGCAUCUCUAUAGUUUGAUUUCGCUAUAAUUUAAGGCUACAGUUGUUCUCAAUCAAGUUCGGUCAUGCAGCUUUCAAAUUUCAAUAUGGGCAUUGUGGUCCACUGAAAUUUUCAACAGCCAAAUAGACUAGCUUUCCACCUACAAUCUUGUAGAAGAUGUCGGCUUGCAUUAUUUGGCUACCACCCUCGCCAAUCGGAAUAGACACUCUUUCUUGUGUAGCUCCACUGUAGUCUUGCGUCCCCUGAAAGAGUCGAGCACUUGUACCACGCCUACAAAGUCCACCUGCAUGUGUGAGUAAAGAUGGUGAGUACGUACAUGCAUGAAUAAAUAGGGAUUCCUAAUACAUAAUACUUAUGGAUAGCUGGAUGUACUAUUAAGCCCAUACUCCUGCACAUUAUAGAUCUAUAUAUGCAUGAUAAAUUAUGUAUAAUUGGCACACAUGCAUAACAAUAUUUAGCUAAGAGCUUUAAGUUACCAAUGUCACAGAGAUCUACGAAGGUGUCGUAAGCUUUCCUCAGUGUAACUCGUGUGCAUGUUGCCCAGCUACCAGGAUGUUUCACACAGGACACCUCAAUGUCAAAUUGAUUCCCAUAUUGCUGCAACUUGUGUAGCGAAGGGUUAAUUGAGAGAAAGUCUUGAUGACACCCGAUUGUCCUGAACCCACUGCUUUGUAGGCUAACAUCAUCUUUACCCUCGACCAUAGCUAGAGCUUCAAAGAAUGUCAUCAGCUUCGCGACAGCUUCUUCAUGUGUGCCUGAAGCAUUGUAUAUUAUCAAUGCACACACUAUAAGACCUAUACCUUGCAGCUCAGCCUGCUUGGCCUCUUUCUCUUUCCAACCACCACAGCCGGUCAUUAUGAAAGGGGGUGCACACAAACCUGCGAGUAUGUGUGCAUGAAGCAUUGUAUAUUAUCAAUGCACACACUAUAAGACCUAUACCUUGCAGCUUCGCGACAGCUUCUUCAUUGUAUGGAGCUCCUUUUAGCUGAGCUGGCUGGGCUGCCAGAACAAUGACAAUCGCCACGAAAACUGCGAGUAUCUUCAUGUUGAAUUUGAGAAGGCACUUGGCUAUAUAGUUGAUCAAUGAGAGUUGAAUGAGAUUUUGGUAACUCAGCAGCCAAAAACUCUCCUUAUAUAAAAAUAGGGGUAUUAAUUAAGGCAGCACCUUUAGGGAUGCUCCAGACCUGCUAAUGUUACCUUUCUCAUUGCUGUAUAGAGAAACUACUCACAUUCGUUGCAGUGAAUAAAUUACGUCAUUGGAAUGUCAUUAACAAAGGGUCUAUUGGUUCAAAGAACUGCUGCACUUGUGGUCGAUCAUAGGCUUCAUUGGUGGUGGUUAUCAAUUCAUACUGAUUCAGAAAAAUACUACUUAAAAGCAACUCAAUAAGAACUGCUGCACCUAGUCUAGGCUUAAUGCACUGAGACAGACCAUCACCACUUCAUGAGUAGACUCGUUGAUUCUUUCACUGCCGGAUGCAGUUAGCUACUGUGAUUCAGAACAUCCCAUAAUACAUUGCUAUAAUAUUAUAGUUACUGAUGCACUAACUCAAUAUACACUGUAUACGUGACACCCUGGUUGCCGUUGACGUCCCUCUGGUAAUUCCUGGCUCUGCGUAGAGGAAUGGUUCAUGGGAUCUGGUGAUACACAAUGUCACAAAAUAUUGUACAAGUGAUUUCCAAUUAACAAACUUCCUGUCCACUACAUGUAUUAGCAUCGGCCACGAGGAUAGAAUGAUGAUAGUCUACAAUUAUGCUUUAAAUUAUCAACAUCGACUGCGUAAAAAAUGCUCCACUUGUGCAAAGUAGUUGGCCGGGUUCCUGUUGAGAACCAUGCAGUCGUUCUGUUCCAGAGCAAAAUCAUCAAAGGAUUACAUCAAUCAUUAUGUGGGGAGCAUCAGAUCUGGAAACUAACUACCCUGAUAGAUGCAGCAGCUCUUCUUGUGCAUGUAUAUAUGUUAUGACAUUAUAAAAAUGUUCACAUGCAUAGAUAUUGACAUUUGAAAAAGUUCACUAUUACCGCAUUUCACCGCAAACGGUGACUGACUAAGUAAGUAAGUGAGUAAGUAAGUAAGUAAGUAAGUAAGUAAGUUUCUUGAGAAGCUUUUCCUCUGUGUACAAGGAUCAUCAUGACAUUCUGCAACCAGUUUCCAGACAACUACAAUCCUGACCAUGGGCAUUUUCCUCAGAUUUACGAUCGCUUUCACGAGGCACAUGACCUCUCAGGCUCAAUUUCUCUUACCUACAAAAUGUCGCCAUCUUUAUGUGAUUGUUCGCGCAUGUGCAGUAGUAUGAAGACCUCAUGGCCACUUAUUAAAUGGGCGUGGCCGUGACAGGACUAGCUUCUAGCUUCUCUAACUAGCUGUACUGUUCUACAGUACAGUCUAGCAGUACAUGCAGUAGCUCCUUGCAUACAGGUAUGUGUACAUUCUCAGUACUGGCCAGUGCUUACCAUACCUCUCUUGGCUGUUGAACUCUACAGGCAGACAUAAAACUUGCUAGUCUAGUAUCUAUAGACUAGCUACCUCUCUUGUAUAUUCUGUGAUACAUAAAUGUCAUAAUCAUGAAAAGGACACAGUGUAUAGAUCUAGUCUACAUCAAUAACAUUUCAUUAUGCUCAUUCCUGUGUAGAGAACUUCCUCCAAUUGCUAUCUCCUCUUCUUGUACUUCUACUCCUGUACAAUAAAAAAAGCAUGGGAACAAGCUCCCAAAAACAUCUGCAAUGUAAAAAUUUCUAGGAUUGGCCAGGGAAAGCACCAAAAAGUAUAGAAACAAGCAAGCAGGAGAAAGCCCUAGUACGUCAAUCCGUUAAACAAGCAACAAUCCCUUACAAUGUCACAUGAUACAGCUAGUGUUUAUACAUAGCAUGAAUUCGCAUUGCUACAUGCAGUUCCUGAAAUCCAUCACAAUUGAGCAUUCAACAUACUGAACAAUUUGCAUCCAUUGUUACACUUCUCUUAUUUAUAAUUAGCUAAUAAUAUGUCCCCAAAUGAUGCAUGUGCAUGAAUGAUGUUGCAACGGAUUGUUGCUUGUUUAACGGAUUGACGUACUAGGGCUUUCUCUAGCCUCGAUCCCAGGCCGAGUUUUCGCUUUUAUAACGGUUAGGCAAACAACUGGGCCUGGUACUAGUUGUCUGCGCAUGCGUCAGUCGUUCGUCAGAUUCUGACGAAUGGAUAUUCUCGUUCACUUUCGUGACAUUUAUAUUCGUGUACUAUCGUGUACUAGAAGUCAGUUCCCGUUUUAUCAUUAUUGGAAUAGAUUGGAAUGGCUCUUAGCUGAAGCUUCUCUCUUCUCUGAAGCUUAUUCUGAAGACUGAACAACAAGGGAAGAGGUAUAAAGCUUUGUCAAGCUUGUUAAGGAGCAAUGGCUAAUAUCCAGCUAUCCCAACAGUGCUCCUCUUGGCUAUACUAACGGACGAGACUGGACAGUUUGAGACACAGGACUGGAGUAUGACCUGCUCAUUCGAGCGUUGCUGGGUAGCUCAGAGACAUCAAGAGAAUCUACGUUUUCUCAAGCAAUGAGUUACGAGUUGGGGCCUAGAAUCAGAGAAGUCCAGCAGCCUGCUAAAUCUUUUUGAAACGUAAUUUGAAUGAAGUUGCCCUGGGUCACUGUAAUUGUGCUGCAGCACAACUGGCAACUCCCCAGGCCUUUGUGAAGCAGCUCCCUAUGUGCAUCUUUUGUGUACUCACUCUGUGCAUUUUCUGUGUACAAAUUUCUAUUAUUGAUUUAUUAAAUA